rnacentral:rRNA from 1 species
AUCACUUGGGGAAUAACCUUGCGAAAGUAAGACUAAUGCCCAAUGACAUUUAUAGAAGGCAUCUGAAAUGAAUUAAAGAUUUAUCGGUGAUGGAUGGGGAUGCGUCUGAUUAGCUGUUGGCGGGGUAACGGCCCACCAAGGCGACGAUCAGUAGGGGUUCUGAGAGGAAGGUCCCCCACAUUGGAACUGAGACACGGUCCAAACUCCUACGGGAGGCAGCAGUGAGGAAUAUUGGUCAAUGGGCGAGAGCCUGAACCAGCCAAGUAGCGUGCAGGAUGACGGCCCUAUGGGUUGUAAACUGCUUUUAUAAGGGAAUAAGUGGGUCACGUGUGACUUUUUGCAUGUACUUUAUGAAUAAGGACCGGCUAAUUCCGUG